GAUCUGGGUCACAGGACCGUAUUGGCAGUGCCAGGGAAACUCUGCUGCUCUUGCUGAAAAGCCUGCCCAUGGGCUGCUACUUCAACAUCAUCGGCUUUGGGUCCAGUUAUGAGUCCUUCUUUCCUAAGUGUGUGGAGUACAGCCAGAAGACUAUGGAUGAGGCUCUGCAGAAUGUGAAGGGAAUGAGGGCUGACCUGGGAGGUACAGAGAUCCUCCAGCCUUUAAAACAUAUCUACAGUCAGCCCUGCCUCCCUGACAGGUAGCUAACACAGUUUACUCAUACACCUUAUACAUACCUCAUACACAAACACACACACACACACACACACACACACACACACUGUAAUUCACAUGGGCUCCUC